rnacentral:rRNA from 1 species
UACGUAGGGUGCAAGCGUUGUCCGGAAUUAUUGGGCGUAAAGAGCUCGUAGGCGGUCUGUCACGUCGGAUGUGAAAACUCGGGGCUCAACCCCGAGCCUGCAUACGAUACGGGCAGACUUGAGUUCGGCAGGGGAGACUGGAAUUCCUGGUGUAGCGGUGAAAUGCGUAGAUAUCGGGAGGAACACCUGUGGCGAAGGCGGCCGCCUGGUUGGAUACUGACGCUGAGACGCGAAAGCGUGGGGAGCAAACAGG